AAGCGAAACCACCGGCAUUCAUGCCGGUUGGUCUGCCAAGCGUGGUGACUUGGUACUGAUGAGCAGCCAAAG
rnacentral:hammerhead_ribozyme from 1 species